UCAGUGAGUUUGUUGGAAAUUUCAUAUUAGUGAGAGAUAUGAUUAAAUUGUAAUAUAUAAGUAGAUAGAAGUUUUUCUAAGAUUGAAUUGGGUCUGAAUCCACCUUUUAAGAGAAAUAAUUACGGGAACUAUGUUCUAAUUUAUUCAAUAUGUAGUUAUUCUCUUAAAUUGUUUGUUUUGUACUUUGAAAUGAUAAAAUGAUUGAAGAUGUCCAUAUGAACAGAACCAAUACAAAAUGACUAAGCUAUUUUUCUCAUUCUACAGGGAUUGGAAACCAGUGAGUCUUGUGAUGUUUUUCUCCCCAGUGACAAUUAUCCUUAUUGGUUGGCUUAUAUGUCUGAGGAAGACUCAGUCUUUUUCACUGUGCCUGAAAAUUUUAACAUUGAUGGAAUGAUUUUGUGUGUUGUGUAUUUAUCAACCCUUGAAAACACAACAACUGAAUGUCUUAUUAGUGUCUUAAUGGUUAAUUACACAAAGUGCACAAUCCAGUUACUCAAGGGAGACCCGACAAUUUCCUUUAAUGAUGUAGAUUGGCAGGGCUUGAUAUCACAUUUGGUAUGUGGAGACAAGGUGGGGAUUUUUGUUAUUUUUGCAGAUGGAUUUGUAGUCGAGAAGACAGCUGUCUAUCUAAUGUGUGAUGGAUCAAUUGACAAGGAAUGAUACGAAGGUAAAAACGAAUAAUGAUCUGGAAAAAGUAAGAGUGGGAGGUCCCGUCGGACAAAUAGACGACAAAUAAUUAGUUAGAGGUGGGGAACCGAUGCCCUAGAGAUCCAUAUGUGGGACUACGUAGGAGUGAAAGGUAAAGAAAAUGAGAUCUUACAGAGUAUUGGCCAAAUUAAGAUAUAAUUGAGGAGAGUGAAGGCUUCUGGUCAAGAUUGUACUCAUCCUCUCUUAUUGGCAGUUUCAUCCUUUUCCUUAACAUAUUCUGUUUCUUUAUACUCAAUAUGGUCAUUUAAGAAUAUAACUUCCUUUCUUAUUGUAUGAAAUCCACUUUUAUUUAUAACAAAGUACAAAUAGUUUAUUUUCAUGGGUGAGAACAGCUAGCAUCUGGGCUCGCCAGAUAGCAAAGCUGAUUUUACCAUCAAAUUUCUCAAUAUCCAAUUUUGACAUUAUUGAACAACAGAUCCUGGUUGAAUUAUCGAAAAGCUCUGAUGCCAAUUUGUAGGGAUAUUGUGUGCGGAAGCGUAAUUAUUUAGAAAUAGAAGUUUUCAGCCAAGUUGUUGUUCCUGUAGGGAUAUUGUGUGCGGAAGCGUGGAAAACCCCGUUAAAUAGAGGUAAAGAACCACCGGCGAGAGAGCCAAAACUUCCACUAUAAUGGUACUGGGAGUACAAUAAAUUCCUCUCAGGCUAAUAGAUAAAUAGCCCCAAAACAAAUUCUCUCUAUAUGGGUUAAACACUUACAUCCAAAAGCAGAAAUAGAGAGUAUGGAAAAGAGAGAGGAAGCAAGUGUGCGUAUGUUGUGUCUUACAUAUAUAUAGUGGUUCUAGGAGACAACAAUAAUAAAUACAAUUAAUGGUAAUUAACCUCCCAUUGAUUGCAAUUGAUUGCGGUAAUUAACCUCUCAUUGAUUGCAAUUGAUUGUAGCAAUUAACCUCCCUCCCUUUAAUAACAAUUAAUUGUCAACGGUAAGUCAUAACCCACAAAUCUCCACCUUGACUUGCCUUUGACUGGAACACUCUCUCGCCAUGAAGCCUUGAUUAAGUAUGGAUAAUCAGUAGUAAGCUCAAAAAGCAUUGGAUAUAUACAUCUACACGGAAAUAAAGGAUUAUCAUUUGCUGUUUUACGUUCUAUCAUUUCGUCUUGGAUGUCACAUACUGUUGAUCCCCUGUCUCGUAUUCGUCCGUUUCGUGGCAUUUCAUCAUCUGAAGUUUUCAUGAAUAUCAAGAAUAAUAAUUUGGGUGAUCUAGCACCAAUCGUUAGCAGCAUUUUAAAUCUGCGUAAUGUUUCGGUGCAAUGUGUCACGGAGUGUCAAACAUCGGAACAAUUAAGAACAAUUUUGGAGGAAGUUCGUGUUGUAAGUUUGACUACAUUGAAAAUAAGACCAUCUACACCAGAAAUUUCAAAGCAUCCCUCAAGACCAUAUUGGAUUGGACUUGGAAGUUAUCAAGAAGAAGUCUUCGAUACUCUCCGCAAGAGCACAUUUGAGGUUCCUUCUCUUUUUCUCUUUGUCUACUUACUUUUACUGUUCAUUUUAGCUGUUAAUUUUAAGACCAUGAAACAUUCCCGUAAAAAAAAUUCAAAGUAACUUCAAUCCUAACAUUCUUUUAGCACCUUCCCCUUCUAUAACCACCUUGCUUUAUUUAAAAAAUACCUUUUUCUAAUUCUCAACAAGCCGAGUGAUGAUGCUAAGCACUAGGAAGUUGAUUUCCAUUUUGGGCUUGCAAUGCUUGCUUCAUACUGGUUACAUUCUCAAAGAUCAUAAAUAAUUAUUUAUGUGUUGAAAGAUCUGUAUGUAAACAUAAUGGGCUGAUUUAUACACAACAAAACUAUUAAACCAAAUUUAUCGUUGAAAAUCUUAUAUAAAAUAGAGGUAUGACAAAAUUAUAGUAUAUAAGUAAAUUCAAAACUUAUAUUACAAGUUGAUAUUAUAAGAUUGAGUUAAGUCUGCUGGACUUGCUAUCAUAUAAUUAUCGAAUCAUCUAUAAAUAUUCAGCUUUAUACUUGAGAUAAGUGGUCAUCGAUGUAAAUGAGUGUGUUGGAAAUCUCAUAUUGAUUAGAAAUAUGAUUAAAUUGUAAUAUAUAAGUAGAUAUAAGUUUGAAUUGAGUUCCUUCUAAGAGAACUAAUUACGGGAGCUAUGUUCUAAUUUAUUCAAGUUAUUUUCUUAAAUUGUUUGUUUGUACUUUGAAAUGAUAAAAUGAUUGAAGAAGUCCAUAUGAACAGAACCAAUACAAAAUGACUAAGCUAUUUUUCUCCUGCUACAGGGAUUGGAAACCAGCGAGUCUUGUGAUGUUUUUCUCCCUAGUGACAACUAUCCUUAUUGGUCGGCUUAUAUGGCUGAGGGAGACUCAGUCUGUUUCACUGUGCCUGAAAAUUUUAACUUUGAGGGAAUGAUUUUGUGUGCUAUGUAUUUAUCAACCCUUGAAAAGACAACAACUGAAUGUCUUACUAGUGUCUUAAUGGUUAAUUACACAAAGUGCACAAUCCAGUUAUUCAGAGGAGACACAAUAAUUUCCUUUAAUGAUGUAGAUUGGCAGGGCUUGAUAUCACAUUUGGUAUGUGGAGACAAGGUGGGGAUUUUUGUUAUUUUUGCUGAUGGAUUUGUAGUCCAGAAGACAGCUGUCUAUCUAAUGCGUGAUAGAUCAAUUGACAAGGAAAUGGAA
rnacentral:lncRNA from 1 species